UUGGAGCGCAUCCCCUGACCCUGGGUGGCUGGCCCCAGGCCCAUGUUUUCCAUCGUGCUCCUCGAGAUUGCCCCUGCAUCCAUCCCAGUGCCCAGGCCCCCCUCCUCAAACCCUAACCUGAAUCCGCAACCUUCGAGGAGUCGACGACUGCUCCCUAUCGCCGGAGUUCUCGGCGCAUUAGACGGUACCAGCCAGCGGUAAUCACCGAAGCCCUUCCCCUGAUGUGCGUCGUGGUUUAUGGCGCCGUCUGGCUCCACGCUGAUGAGUUAUGGGCAGAUCUUUGCAGAUCCAAUCUGGUGCCUUUGUAUGGUCGCAGUGAAGUCCUUUGUUCCUCAUCUCUUGCAUCGAUGGAGAAAGAUUGGAGUCCAACAAGACUAUGCUAUACUGAUGAGGGACUCCAUUAAUCCAGAAGUACAGGCAAGCAUGCACCUCUCACCUCUGGACCAAUAGUUGCGUGCUUAUCUGCAACAUGAUAUGCUGAACUCAUCUCAGGAUUCUCAGCUCGGAGGAUAGUUAACAUUGUGGCUGGCAAUUCGGUGCGGGGAGAUGAUGAUUUGAUGGAUGAUGAUCUCACUUUUCGAACCAUUGAUCCCUGUCAUCCUGGGACGUGUCUGGGAAUCCCUCUUCGCUGGAGCAAAAUAUUUUGGUUCCAUGGGAAGGGGUAUGGACCUGUGGCAGCUCCUGAUUUGCCGGUGCCGGAAAGUGCGCAGCAGAGGAGAAUGUGCUUCCUGGGUGGAGACUGAUGUCGCCCGGCACCUCCGGUUGCCCGCGUGGUGGUGCGCACCUAUACUGCAGCUGACGGACUUUGCAUGUAAAAGAACUGCACGCGUGCAUGUGGACAGUAAAAUAAAAGAAGUUGCUGGAGUUUUGGACUUGACCUUAAUUCCUAAUAAAUCACAAGAGCUCAUGUUUAUGAGGAAGAGAUG